rnacentral:rRNA from 1 species
UACGGAGGGUGCAAGCGUUAUCCGGAUUCACUGGGUUUAAAGGGUGCGUAGGUGGGUUGGUAAGUCAGUGGUGAAAUCUCCAGGCUUAACUUGGAAACUGCCAUUGAUACUAUCAAUCUUGAAUACCGUGGAGGUCAGCGGAAUAUGUCAUGUAGCGGAUGAAAUGCUUAGAUAUGACAUAGAACACCAAUUGCGAAGGCAGCUGGCUACACGAAUAUUGACACUGAUGCACGAAAGCGUGGGAUCAAACAGG